rnacentral:rRNA from 1 species
UACGAAGGGGGCUAGCGUUGCUCGGAAUCACUGGGCGUAAAGCGCACGUAGGCGGAUCGUUAAGUCAGGGGUGAAAUCCCGGGGCUCAACCCCGGAACUGCCUUUGAUACUGGUAGUCUCGAGUCCGGAAGAGGUGAGUGGAAUUCCGAGUGUAGAGGUGAAAUUCGUAGAUAUUCGGAGGAACACCAGUGGCGAAGGCGGCUCACUGGUCCGGUACUGACGCUGAGGCACGAAAGCGUGGGGAGCAAACAGG